UGAACGCUGGCGAGAUGCCUUACACAUGCAAGUCAUACGGGAAUUUUUAAUUUAAGUGGCGGACGGGUGAGUAACACGUAAGAAUUUGCCUUUAGGAGGGGGACAACAACUGGAAACGGUUGCUAAUACCCCAUAUGCUUUCGAGUGAAAUGGAAUUUUCCGCCUAAAGAGAAGCUUGCGGCUGAUUAGCUUGUUGGUAAGGUAAUGGCUUACCAAGGCGACGAUCAGUAUCUGGUUUGAGAGGAUGAUCAGACACACUGGAACUGAGACACGGUCCAGACUCCUACGGGAGGCAGCAGUGGGGAAUUUUCCGCAAUGGGCGAAAGCCUGACGGAGCAAUCUCGCGUGAGGGAUGACGGCCUAUGGGUUGUAAACCUCUUUUUUCAGGGAGGAAUAAAUGACGUGUACCUGAAGAAUAAGCAUCGGCUAGCUCCGUGCCAGCAGCCGCGGUAAUCUGAUGGCGCGAGG
rnacentral:rRNA from 1 species